AUCGGCUUACUAGCCAUCAUCAGCCGUUCUAAUUGAUUUACGAUCGAACACUAGAAUUUAGAACAUAAUAGAUACAAAAUUUAAAUUCAGUUCGUUUAUGCAACAUAAAUAAGCUAUUAUUACAAUUUUAAAAAAUUACAGCAUUUCUAAUAUUUUAUCAGAUUCUUUAUGUUAAUAAAAUCAAUUUCAUUUUUUAAAAAUUCAUUUCAGAGAAUACAACCACCUUUAAACAUUAGUUAUGCACUGCCUACCAAGGACAGAAGGUGCAUUAUUCUGGCUAUUUAUUUUCUAAGCAAAUACUCCCACGGUUUCGGGAGCUCCUCUACUUUCCUGUUAUUUAUAACUGCUUUUAACUUCCUCUCUUUUGCUAUUUGUAGGUUUUCUGCCACCAGUAAUUCUACUCUGCCUGUUGUUUGGUUAACUAUUUUGGCUUCUUGCCAGUUUAUGUGGACAUUGCUCUGGUAGGCUUUGGUCGCCAGUGCUGUAGUCAAGCUUGCCGU
rnacentral:lncRNA from 1 species